AAAACUUUGGAAGAAAACUUUAAAGUAUAAUAAAUGGAGAAGAAUAGGAGUGUAGACAUACCUUUUUAGCUUCUGGAAUUCCCUUAGUGCUUCCUCAGUGAUUGUUGCUCACAAAACCUUUAUGUGUGAGAACAUAUUUUUUUUCUCUAUACUCCCUCCUCCAAUCUCUAAUAUUUCUAAGUGUUUUCCUCUAUUUUUUCCUUCCCUUUUAUACUUCCACUGAGUGUGUAUUUAUAGGCACAUAUAGUAAUAUU
rnacentral:lncRNA from 1 species